ensembl:lncRNA LINC02694 long intergenic non-protein coding RNA 2694
AGAUAAGGCGUUGUCUGUCUCUCUCUGCUGGACGUUCUAUCUAAGCAGCGUGGAUGUUGACAAGGCUCCUGGAAGGACAAGAGAAGUUCCUCUGUCUUGAUAAAUCAGCCUGUCUGGGCAGUGGGCAAAAUGAACCCCCAACAGGAGGAUUUCAAAUGUAAAGGCACUACUUCUUCCUGCUGCCAUGUGAAGAAAGACCUGUUUGCUUCCCCUUUCAUCAUGAUUGCUGGACUGCAGUGGCGCGAUCUCGGCUCAGUGCAACCUCCACCUCCCGGGUUCAAGUGAUUCUCCAGCCUCAGCCUCCCAAGUAGCUGG